rnacentral:lncRNA from 1 species
UCUAAUCGGAGCUGUAGCUGCCGGCCUAAGCCAGAGCCACAGCAACUCGGGAUCCCAGCCACGUCUGCGACCUAUACCACAGCUCACAGCAACGCCGGAUCCUUAACCCACUGAGCAAGGCCAGGGAUCGAACCCGCCACCUCAUGGUUCCUAGUCGGAUUCGUUAACCACUGCACCACGACGGGAACUCCCUAAAUCUAAUACUUGAUGACAUUCACUCAUAAUUCUAGGAACUUGAUCAGCUGCCAUCACGUACAAUCACCAGUUCUUUAAAUCUGCUUUUUAAAAAUGCCUAGUCAUCAGGCCUAACAGUCAUCUGUCCAAUGGCCCAUCCAACGGCUGAACCUUGGUCAUUCAAGACAAGUAUUAACCUACCAAGGGAAAGAUCUCUGAAGUCAGAGAAAUCUGGACUCCACUGGCUCCCCUACUCACUACAGAAUGGCUUCAUCUUAGGCUGAUGACAAUCUCUCUGUACCUCAAUUUCCUCACUUAAAACAUGGAGAUCAUUAUUUCCUCUUCGUAAAGUUCAGGCAGACUCUCACGACUUUCUAUCACGUUCCAUGAACUGGGCUGGCCAAUCUUACCACUCAAAACAAAAAGCCUAGGCUCUCACUCAGUCCACCGCUCUAAAACUUGCUGGUGCUAACAGAUUUUGCAACUUCUCUUUCUUGCUACAUUGUUCCUAUCUGUGAAAUGGAAAGAACAAUAGGACCUGUGGCAUAAGGGCUUUGGGCAGGAUGACACAAGUUCCCGUGUAAAUAGGUCGGGCCGUGCCUGGCACAUAGGACACACUCCACAGACAUGAGCUAUGUAUGGUGACCAGCUCCCCUCCUUUCUUACACCUUACUUUGGGAAAACAUGACUCCUGGACCCCAAAUUGCACACAUUGUUGUGGCCAAACACCAGAACUCAUCCCCGCCACAUCAGAAAGUGCCUAAAAGGCUCCCCGGGAAAUUGGGUCUUCCUGCCAACCCCACCUGUAACUUCUGGUGGAAGGCCUGGCCCACGACUCAUACUUCUCCUGUCUGGAAUGACAGCCACGUUCUCCCCAACCUGUGACUCGUGUCCUUGGCUGCAUCCUGAUCCUAACACAAAGGAGUUGGUGCAGGGUCUUGACCUUCCAUCGGAGCCUACAUAGAAGUUUAGUAAGAAGUCAUGACCCCCAAAGAAAAGUUUCUAGAUCCACCGCCAAGAGAGAGCAUGCUCCCUUCUGUGGGAUUUGAAGCAGAUGUCAGCAUUAGAGACCCUCCCUGCCUGCCACGCUACUGGCUUCCGAGAUGCUUUUCUGACACCAGCCUUCCUGCUGCUUCCCUCAACCUUCUUCCAUAUUUACCUCUUUAUCUGAGUCCUAGGCAGGUUGACGCAGACCCUUUGUGAGAAUUACGAAAUGCACCUGCAGUCUGGAUGGCAGGGUAGGGGGUGAGGGAGAUGCUUGAUGAGCUAAUGGCACCGCUGAGACUUAGAAAAAGGCAUCCCCUCAUGACAGGCUGGUAACCCUGUACCAGAGCUACCAUCGUUAGCUUCCACUGUUGAAGUCAAGUCAGGGAGGAGGAAACUUGUGAGCUGCAGUGUAGGUCGCAGAUGCAGCUCAGAUCUGGCAUUGCCGUGGCUGUAGUGAAGGCCAGUGGCUGUGGCUCCAAUUCAACCCCUAGCCUGGGAAUUCUCUUAUGUUGUGGGUGAGAUCCUUAAAAAAGACAAAAAAAAAAAAAAAAAAAAAAAAAAAAAA